GUAUGUCUAAUUAGUAGUGACACCACACUAAACACAUCUCCUCAAAUCAGGUAGGACUACCCGCUGAACUUAAGCAUAUCAAUAAGCGGAGGAAAAGAAACCAACAGGGAUUGCCUCAGUAACGGCGAGUGAAGCGGCAAAAGCUCAAAUUUGGAAUCUCAGUCUUUCAGGCUGCGAGUUGUAAUUUGAAGACGUAUUUUGAAGUAAGCACAUGUCGAAGUUCCUUGGAACAGGACGUCACAGAGGGUGAGAAUCCCGUGCGAUGUGUUCACUGCUUCAUGUAAAAUGCAGUCGAAGAGUCGAGUUGUUUGGGAAUGCAGCUCUAAGUGGGUGGUAAAUUCCAUCUAAAGCUAAAUAUUGGCGAGAGACCGAUAGCGAACAAGUACAGUGAUGGAAAGAUGAAAAGAACUUUGAAAAGAGAGUGAAAAAGUACGUGAAAUUGUUGAAAGGGAAGGGCUUGAGAUCAGACUCGGGCAACCGGGCCAGCAUGGGGUGGGGGAGUAGGAUAACCCUGCAGGAAAGUGGCUUCGCUUCGGUGGAGUGUUAUAGCCUGUAGCUAUACUGCUACCCUCGCCCGAGGACUGCGGAAACAAGGAUGCUGGCAUAAUGAUCUUAAGCCGCCCGUCUUGAAACACGGACCAAGGAGUCUAACGUCUAUGCGAGUGUUUG
rnacentral:rRNA from 1 species